UAGUAUAUGCCGCAUAAUUAAAGUGGGAUUAAUAUUAUUUUGUAUUUAUUUUAGUGUAUAAUUAUUGUAUGUAUUUCAUUGCGCAUGCGUAAAAGCUACUUCGUGCUCGCGGCGAUCAGCAUUACUUCCAAAAUGGCCGCUUGUGAAUGUUUUGGGUGUUUUUUAACUUUAAUUCAAUACCGGAAUGAUUAUUUAUCUGUUACAUGUUUUUACCUCUAUUUAGUGCAAUUGAAAAUUGAAACGACAAUAAUAUUGUUUUUGUGUUCAUUAUAAUGUAUAUACAUGUACUGUGUGUUAUUUUAAUAUAAUAGCAAGUGGAUUGCGUUAUUGUUGAAAUUUAUAAUUUAUUAAUAGCACUGUUUCACUGCUUUGUUUUGAGUGGUUUAUUUUUACAGAGUAUUUGCUUAAUUAAUUUAAUUUAAUAUGUGCAUAGUGUGUUAUCACUAGUCACUACUACGUAACAUAACCUUAUUUCUUUACACCAACUUAAUACAUUAAGACUAUAAUAUCUUAGUACAAUAUAAUAAUUUCUUAUUUUAAUCACGUUUGUCGUUGAUACUCAGUUAAUCUGUCGUGAUUAAUUUCUAACCUAUUUCUAUAUUUAUUGGCUGUUUCUAUUUCCUUCUUAUUAGUUUGUCGUUACUUUGUAUUUGUGAUUUGUUGUUAUAUCUGUAUGGUAUAAUUUUGGAACUAACCUAUAUAUUGUUAAUUAAAAUUGUUUAUUCAAUUAUUGUUUAUAGGUUCUUGGGUUCUAUUUCUUCAAUGCUGUGUUAUCCGCUUGGAACAAUUAUGCGAUGCGUGUUUGGUGUCAUCUGGUUCAUUACAUCGUCAACACUUAUUAUAAGUACUUUUAUUUAUCCUAGGUCUGUAGGUAUAUAUAUACACACUUAUAAAACGCCAUAUUCCAUAAGUACUCGCAUAGUGAAAUAGUCUGUCCUUUUUUUGUUUACUAGGACCGUUUCAUCGAUGUUGAAUUAUUUUAUUAUAAUGUCAUUAAUUUUUCCUUGAUUUUCCAGUUUCCUGUUGACGUCUUGACUGUUUCGGUAAUAUCUGCUGCAGUAGUCCGUGAGUAUUCUCUUAAAUUUGGUAGUAGACUUCUUAUAACUGUAUUGGCUUUAGUGUAUACCUUUCGAUGUGAGUAAUAAACUUAUUAUUAUUAAUUUCUAUUCCAAGGUGGUUUACAGCGUUCUUCCCCUUUUUAGGUUAUGAUUGUUUACUUCAAUAUUUAUUACCUUCGGUAUCUUCGUACCUCUGACCGUUGUAUGUUAUGUUUUACGAAAAUGGAUCCGUAUCCAAUCCUUGUGGAAUUCCUGCAUGUACUUUUUCUUUCAUGAUAAUUAAUUGCGUACAAGCCUUGUUGAUUUAUAAGGUUUUCGCUAUCUUCAUUAUUCGACAAGUAGUAUUAUACCAUAUACCACCGUACUACGUUGCCCCUUGAAAUCAUUCUGGUGGUCUAUCUCGAUGGUCUGCUAGUUUUAACUUGCUCAAGUGUACUGUUCGCGGAAUCCCUUUCACUUCAAUCUUGACGUCUUGGAUUUGCAAAAUUUUUAACACUUUAUGGGGUCCUGUAUAUUGAUCUGAGAAUUUUCCUUUAGUAGGUUUCUUUAGUAGAUAUACCUCCAGAUCUCCUAUUUUAAAAUUUUGUGGGUUGAUUCAUCUGUCGUAAUAUUCCUUUGACUUUAACUUGGAUUUCAUCAAAUUUUCUCUUGCCAUUUGUUGCACGGUGUUGAUUUUAUCGAACAGGUCUCUGAGAUAUUCCACAUAUGUUGGUUCCAUGUUCUCUUCGAUUAUCAUUUCGCUAGUAGGUUCUCUGGCCAAGUGCCCAAAGACUAAUUCGUGCGGGGAGAAUUUCGUUCCUUCGUGUACAGAGGUAUUGUAAGAAAGUAUGGCUAAUUCUACCCAUUCGUCCCAGUUUCUGGAAUUUUCAAUGUACAAUUUGAGAUAUUCGGAUAAUACAUGAUGGGAUCUUUCGAUUGAACCGUUGCUUUGUGAAUGGUAUGCCGACGUGGUGUACUGUUUGAUGCGAAAUCUCUUUGCUACUUUCUUCAUUAGCGAGGAUGUAAAGUUUGCUCUCUGGUCGGUAAGAAUGGCUCUCGGUGACCCGAAUUGGCAAAUAAAUCGUUUUGCGAAAACGUCCGCUAUAUCGGCUGGAGAGAUCCCUUCCAUCGGAAUUCCGAUCGAAUACUUUGUCAAUAAAUUUUGAAUAGUUAAUAUAUAUUCAUUUCCCUUUAGUGUCUUUGGCAAUGGACCGACGAUAUCCAUACUAAUUUUGUCGAACGCUUACCUGAUGUGUCUGUGAGCUUCUUCAAUUGACAUUUCUUACAUGUUCUUACGUAAUCUUGGAUCUCUUUCGUAAUGUUCUCCCAAUAAUAGUGUUGUCGUAUCCCUUGAUAAGUUUCUGUUACUCCUUUUUGUCCUGCCACGGAUGAUUCGUUAUUUUCUCAUAUUAUGUUGCUUUGUGUUUCCACUGGUGGGGUGAUUAUUUCCCCGGUACAGAUGGUGAUAUCUAUGGUUUUUCCCGUAAAUGCUUCCUUCAAUUUCCUGAUUGUAUAUCGCCAGGGUAUUUCUUCCAAGUUUCCUUUGCUAAUGCUAAAGGACGUUAAUUGUUUUUCGUUUACUACAUCCAUUAAGAAUUUCAAUGAAUUUAAUAAAUUUUCUGGCGUUAUAGGAAUAUUUCGAUCUUUCCUUACGGGUAGGGGUAUGAUGUAUUUUCUGCAAUCUUGAUUCAAUCUUGCUCUUUCCAACAUUAGAUCUUCAUAAUGCGGUAGUUUCCCUGCUUUCUUCAUUUCUAAGGCUCCUUUAUCUAUCGGAGUGCCUUGUAUAUCAACGAAUAUUACUUUAUGAUCAUUCACUCUCGUAAUUGAGUCUUGUGUUUCCGAAAUUUUUAGUUCCGUAAGUACCGUAGGUCUUGCGUCUUUUCCUCGUUGCUGAGUUGGUUCGGAGUCUGCCAUAGAGGGUUCUUAUUCACUUGUUGUAUCGAUGUCCUUUAUUUCUCGAUUGAUUACUUCCUCGUUUGUGUUUACAUCGAUUUCGGCUAAUGCUUGGUCAAAAUAUUUUAUGGGUGUUUCUUCUAAAGUAAGAUAUUUUCGAAUAGAAGUUUUUCCUUGUUUUCCAUGUAUAUCGUAUUGCGAUAAUUCGCGUGAUUUAGCUUCGAAUAUGGGAGAGUCCUUGGUUGACGUAUCUAGUUCAAAUCUUUUUGGGGCAGGAUAUCGAAUCAGUGAAUCUUCUUCUCUCUUCCUGAUUGGUAGGUAGGCCUCCGGGGGGUUUCUAAUAAUGCGUCCGCAUUAUCGUUCGCUCUGCCUUCUUUGUAUAUAAUAUCGAAUUCAAACAAUUCCGACAAUUUUAAUUUUCAUUUCUAGAUUCUUGAAGUAGGAUCCUUAAUAGAAUGCAUCCACACUAAAAGUUUAUGGUCGGUUAUGGUAGUAAACUUUCUUCCGUAUAGAUACGGUCGGAAGUGCAUUGCACUAUAGACGAUUGCCAAACACUCCUUUUUUCGUUUCGUUCAGCAGAGUUUAAUGGUCUUGAGGCGUAUGUUAUCGGUAGGUCUUUUCCGACUCAAUACGCCGCUUAUUGCAUAUCCUGAUGCGUCUGUCGUAAGGUUGAAAAGUUUAGAAAAAUCCGGAUAUUGUAGAAUAGAUUUUGUCAUUAGUGCUGUUUUUACAUUGUUAAAUGCAUUUUCUUGGUCUUACGACCAUUUAAAGGGAAUAUCUUUCUUCAAUAGUUGUGUUAAUGGUUUUGCGAUUUUGGAAAAAUUGGGUAUAAAUCUUCUAUAGUAUUUUGCUAGUCCCAGAAAUUGCUUGAUAUUCUUUGCUUUCUUGGGUAGUGGAAAUUUUGAGACUACUUCGAUCUUCUUUGGAUCUGGUUUUACACCGUCUGCACUGAUUAUAUGCCCUAAAUAACUUACUUCAUGUCGUAGGAAUUCACAUUUAUCAGGCUGUAAUCGUAGUCUGGCUUGCCUUAAUCUUUCCAUUAAUUUGUUAAAUUUAAUUUCAUGUUCGUGAAGAGAUCUUGAAUAAAUCACUAUAUCAUUCAGAUAGACGAAUAAUUCUGCUUCUUGCAAUCCUGAUAGCACUGAGUUCAUUAAGCAUUGAAAUGUUGCUGGAGCAUUUUUUAAUCCAAAGGGCAUUCUUUUGAAUUUAAAGUGUCCGUACGGUGUUGAGAAUGUAGUCUUGUGAGCAUCCUCCUGUGCCAUUCGGAUGUAGUGGAAGCCCGAUGCCAAAUCAAACGUGGAAAAAUAUUUUGCAGUUCCUAAUUGAUCCAAUAUCUCUGUAAUAUUGCGAAGUGGAUAAGCAUCGCCGAUUGUUUUAUCGUUAAGCUUCCUAUAAUCAAUAACUAAUCUCCAACGUUUGUUUCCUUGCGAGUCUGGUUUCUUCAGCACAAUCCAUAACGGAGAAUUGUACGGAGAUAUCGAUGGUUCUACGACAUCAGUAUCCAGUAAUUCUUGAAUUUGGCGAUUUAUCUCUUCUCGAUGUACAGGUGGGUAACGAUACUGUUUAAUCCAUUUGCAUCAUGGCUCUACUUUAGACUGGUCCUUAUCAUCGCGCAUGGUCGGUCGUAGGUGCAGUAAAUAACAUCCGAAUUCUUCAUGGAGUUUAUAGAAAAUUUACUGUUUAAAACGAUUGGUAAACAAUGUUACUUCGCAAACAUCGCAUCUUACAUCCUUUAUAACACAGGAAAAAAGACAAAAUUAUUUAUUUAAAAAAAAUAAGAAAUAAGAAAUUAAAUCAUAUUAUUUCUUGUGGAAUUCUUUAAAAUGGUCAAUACAAUAAACUGAUAUAGGCGAGAUGCUGACAAACAGAUCAAACGUGAACUCUCACAUCCGAAGAAUACUUAGCGACUGAAAUAAAAAGCAGUCGCAGCGCGCGGAUUAAUCCGCGCUUGGAUGCAAAUGGGUUAAUAUUGAUCGGUAUAUUGUCCGUUGUAAUUAUUCGAUGCUCUAGAAUUUCGGUUCCUUCCAACGUGUCUCCUGGAAUAUGAAAUCUAUCUUGAUUCCUCCAAAUUAAUUCUUCGACGUUUUUUCUCUUCUCCUUGUUCAAGUGUUCGAGUUGCAAUAAUUAAAUUAUUUUGUCGAACCUAUUUUCCUUUGAUUUUGGAAUUACAUUGUAGUAAGGGGGCGUGCUAGGGGGCGAAGUGAGUUUUUCAAAUUCUUUAAUUACCAUUGUAGGCGUAGUGAAUUCAUAAUCUCUCGAUGUGGUAUUUAUUAUUUUCAUAUAUCCUCGGCCCUUAUAGUUCCUCAGAACUGCAUUACCGAAAUAGACUCCCUUGAUUGGCUGGAUUUUGGGAAUAAAUCCCUCUUUUAUCUCCGGAUUUGCAAUGUUAAUUGAACAUGGUACCGAACUUCGUUUCGGCACAAUUAUCUUUUCUCUUGUAUCGAAGGGGAUAUAGAUAUUUCCCCACUUAAUAUGCUUUUGCUCGUAAUCCAAACAAGCUUUGCAUCCUGCGAAAAAUUCGGAUUCUAAGAUUCCGUCUUGAUCGAUCAGCAAUGAGUCAUCAACUACGUGAAAAAUAACUGGACGGCCCGCAACCUGUAUUACUGUUUGCCUUAGUGCACCAAGCUCGUUGCCGUAAUUCCUCGAAUUUCAAUUGAUUCUUGCUCAUUGAUUCUCGCUGAGUCGAGUAAAGCAGGUUUCUUAAUAAUAUUGAUUUCUGAUCCGGAGUCUAAUAAUAAACUUGUCUUAGUUUUUAGGUCUGGGAAGACUAUUCGUGCAGUUGGAGUACUUGGAGAAUCGUUCAAGUUUAUUGAAAUAAUCCGGAGAAGUUGUCGUCCGAAUCUGAGUCCGACUCUUGGUGCUUCUUCUUCAUCGAUUCUUGUAUUUUCUUUUCCUCCUGGUUUUGAAAUUCUUGACCUUCUGUUUGUUUCUUCGCGUGGCUGCAAGAUGGUUUUCCCACAGUAUUUAAUGGUUCCUUUGAUUUUGCAGCAGGCAUUGUAUUCGUCCUGUUCUCCGCUAGGUGCUGGUCUUCUUGUCACCGCCUGUACUCUUGGGCGAUUCGGAGCAUCGUUCCUUCGAGAUUCGCCCUGUUCUCCCGAAGGACGUGCUCGGUUUCCCGAUUGUUCGGAUGCAUAGGGUACGAUUAUUCCAGCGUCUACUCGUGCUUUGAAUGUGUAACAAUCUUUUAUUAAAUGCCCAGGUUUUUUGCAAUAAUUACAUGUUAACGUAUUUUGUUUCGGAGCGUUUGGACGAUUUUGCAACGGCGGUAUAAAUAUUCGAUCUUGGCGGUUGUUCCCGAUGUUAUUAUUAUUGUUCGGGGGACGAACAUUGUCACAGUUGUAAUUGUUCGGAGGUGUUGGAUGUUGAUAUCGUGUUCUGUCGUUUGCUCUUUUUAAUUCUUGUGUUGCUUUAACGGUUUGGCGAUACGCGUCUUCUAAAGAAUGGUAUCCUGCUACCUUUACUCGCAAAUAUAUCUCGUUUGGGAGUCCCUUAACGAAGGUCUCCCUUAUGUCCCAGUCUAUUGUGUCUUGAAUAUCCUGAAAAAUGAUGCCGUAAUCACAUCUUUCUCCGUCCAUUAUUGCUAACCUAAGAUUUCUGACACGAUCCAUAUAGUCUAGUAUGUCUUCUCCCGAUCGUUGGAAUAUUGUUCCUUAUUCUCCCUUAUAUUCGUUAAGAGAUUUCUCUGGGCCGAACAUAUUUUUUAAUUUGUUUCCGAAAUCGUUCAAACUGUUUACCUGACUGUCCUCUACGGCGAGGAACGCGUGUCCGCGAAGCUUAUUCAUUAAUAAUUUUACCAGUUGAGGUUCUUGAUGUCGCGGAAUCAUGUUUCGCGCGCGUUCACAUACUCUUAAAAAUUGAAAUACUAAGGGUCGAUGUCUGUCGACUACUGGUACUGACUAGAUCGCACCUUUUAACUUAAUUGGUUGUGAGCUACCGUCUAUCGGUGUUGUCUCUUGCUGAAUUAACAGCGGUGUUAUUAGGUGUCUCGAUUUCUAUCUUUGCUUUGAGUGAAGGCAAGUCGUCUUGUAAUUUAUGGAGUUUUGUGUUUAUGUCGGUUAUCACAUGAAAGUUUGCAUCCUACGCUUUAAGUUUUUCUGUCAACGUCAAGAGCAUGUCCUCGACCAAUGAUUCCAAUGCGAUCGGCAUAUUUUCUAUUUAUAUUUUGUCAAUAACUGUAAGAACUUUAAUCCUCUGUGAGCGUAUCCUACCGUUGCCACCAAAAAUUUGAUAUGUUACGUUUUCAAUUUGAUGCUUUCAAUUAUGUUUGCCUUUAAAUUUAAUCGAAAAAGAAAGUAUUCGAGAUAUAAAUUAACUUUCGAUCAGUACGAUAGUUGCUGUCACCAGAAAUAGUCUAAGGACUAUUUCAAAAAAUUUUUUUUCCCUUUUUUAUAUAUUUAUAUAUUUUAAGAGUGCUGAUGUAUUAUGAGUGCUGUUGCAAUUGGCGACUAGUAGAAGUCAACGAGGUUGAUUAAUCCCUCGUGAAGCGAAACGCGGUUUCGAGUUGGCGACUUGUAGAAAUCAACGAGGUUGGUUCACCCCUCGGGAAGCUAAGCGCGGUCUCUAAUUGAAGACUGAUAGUAACCAACGAGGUUGGUUCACCCCUCGGGAAGCUAAGCGCGGUCACUAAUUGAAGACUGAUAGUAACCAACGAGGUUGGUUCACCCCUCUGGGAGCAAAACGCGGUCUCUAGUUGAUUCAAAGGGUCGCUCUUUCUAUAAUAGCCUUAAUGGAAUCCCAGAUUUUGCCCAUUCAGUGAGUGCUUCAAGUUGAAAAAUUCCGAAUAAUUGUAUUCUGUAGACUUUACUUCAAUAAAUUAUGUGUUCGUGGAUAAACUACCAUUUAAAGUGACUGGCAAAUAAAUUCCAUUUUUCGGCUAACCUGCUAUGUGCAGGAAUACUGGCACGGGAGAGGAUUAAAGUUGCUCGAAAUACAUAAUUGAUGUGGAUCUAUUCGGUUCGACUGGGAUAUUUUAUUAUUUAUUCAGGUCUUACUCGAUAAUAAUAGCUACAGUGUUGAUUAUAAAUGUCAUAACAUAUAACAUGCGAGUGUAUACGUACAAUUAAUAUUCAAAUCUCUAUUUGGAUUGAUCUUACAGAUAUUUUGGUGUGAAAUGGUUGGUCUAGUUUAAUUUCGUUAACGACAAAAUCUAUCUCUACUGGUCGUGUCUCCGAAUUCGUUUAGCGCGGAUGCAGCGUGUAUUUAGCAAAUGCAUGUUCGGUGCGAAAUGGUUCGUUUAAUUCUUCUCUUCGCUUUUUCUCUUCUUUUUUAAUUUUGGCAGCGAUCAAUCGUUUAAACUAAUGUUUAGCUUGCUUUUUAUUAAGGUGACUAUUGUCUCUAUGAUUCUUUCUUGCUUUUGAUUUUUAAUAUAAUCAGAAUAAUUACUUUAUCUCUCCAUCUAGUGUCAGCAGUACGGCCAUCUAGGUUUUCCUCGUAUUGUAUAGAUUUCAUUCCUGUUUUCCUUUGCAUAUGGUAAAUUAUAGGGAUGUUAUU